CUUUUUUUUUUAAUAAUUAUUAAUCUCUGUACCUGUUUGUCUCUCCCUAUUUAAUGUGUGUGUGUGUGUGCGCGCGCAUGUGUGAGCACGAGCACAAGUGCACACACACUCACAUGCGUGCAUGUAUAGGAAUGUCCACAUCUCUGUAUGAGGAGGCAAGAAGGGAACAUACAGUUCCUAGCAGCUGGAGUCACAGGUAUCUGUGGGCCAAGAAGCAAGAACCUCCAGGAGGUUCAGAGGAGAGAGACCUUCCUUUACCCACACAACCCUGGAAAUGUUCAAAAUACCUGCCCAUCAUUCAUCAAUGACUAACCUGAUGGGGUUACAGCAAACGGCUGACAUCUCUGCUCUGGGAGGUGGAGACAGAAUGAUCAGGAGUUCAAGAUCCAGGCUGGCGAUGUAGCUCAGCUGAUAAAGCACCUGUCUGUCUAGUCUGCAGGAAGCCCUGCGUUCCCUCCAGGUCCAAAUAAACCAGUCGUGGUGGUGUACCCUGGGAAUCUCAGCACUUGGGAAGUGGAGGCAGGAGGAUCAAAACUUCCAGGCCAUCCUCUGCUACAAACCACAAGGAAGGAGGGGAGAAGCCUGCAGAACCUGGCAGCUGGCCUGCUGCAGGUACCUCCGGGGUGCACCGUAUUUUCCCUUCCUGUCUCCCUGUUUAGAGCCUAGAAGCUUCUCCAAGCUUAGGACAGCUUGUUGCUCUGGACACCAUGACUGCCUGUCGCCGCCGUGCUUCCCCACUGUGAUGGUAAAGGACUCACCCCUUCCUUGGCCACAGCAGUAGAAAACUGAACUAAGACAAUCCAGACUUAUCUGGGACAGCCGGAUCAGCUGCAUUGGCAGAAAUCCAAGGUAGGGCUUGUAGAAGGUUAAAGGAGACCACGACCGCAUGCUUUCCCUUUAAAAGUCAUAAUCUAGGGCUGGGAUGGGGCUCAAAUGGCAGAGUACUUGACAAGCACCCACAAUGCCCCAGGCUUGAUCCCUAUCACCCCAAAUCCCACUUAUUUUGUCUGUCUCUAAGGAGACUUUAGUUACCCUUGAACUCAAAAUCCUCUUGCCUUGGUUUCUAAGUGCUGGGAUUACAGGCACACACCACCCACACCUGGCUCCUUGCAUCCCGUGGGUACUCAAAUCCCAAAGCACACCGAGUAAAAUUCGCACUGUCCAAUGUGACUCCAUAUCAACCAAUGUCUAAAAUUAGACAAUAA